GUGAGGAAUAUUGCGCAAUGGAGGCAACUCUGACGCAGCCAUGCCGCGUGCAGGAAGAAGGCGCUACGCGUUGUAAACUGCUUUUAACCGGGAAGAAACCCCAGGACGUGUCCUGGGUUGACGGUACCGGAGGAAUAAGCACCGGCUAACUUCGUGCCAGCAGCCGCGGUAAUACGAAGGGUGCAAGCGUUAUCCGGAUUCAUUGGGUUUAAAGGGUGCGUAGGCGGAGCGUUAAGUCAGGGGUGAAAUCCUGCAGCUUAACUGUAGACUUGCCAUUGAUACUGGCGCUCUUGAGUGCGCUUGAAGUGGGCGGAAUGUGCCGUGUAGCGGUGAAAUGCUUAGAUAUGGCACAGAACACCAAUUGCGAAGGCAGCUCACUAAGGCGAUACUGACGCUGAGGCACGAAAGCGUGGGGAUCGAACAGGAUUAGAAACCCUAGUAGUCC
rnacentral:rRNA from 1 species